rnacentral:lncRNA from 1 species
GCAUUUUUCAUCGUUGGAGGACUUCCAGACCUCCGAUUUCGAUUCCGUAAAAAGCUACACGUUCAGAAAAUUAUGACUCAUCCAAAUAUAUAUUCAUUCACAAUUUUAGCAUAAUUUAAUCAUCACAAUUCAAGAGUAUUUGUCAAAACCUAAUAAUUCCAAAACCACGCCAAUUAAGGAUUUCAACCUAAAACAUGUUCCUACCCAUUGACCCAAU